rnacentral:rRNA from 1 species
GACGUAGGGCGCGAGCGUUGUCCGGAUUUAUUGGGCGUAAAGAGCUCGUAGGCGGUUUGUCGCGUCGUCCGUGGAAACUCACAGCUUAACUGUGAGCUUGCGGUCGAUACGGGCAGGCUAGAGUUCGGUAGGGGAGACUGGAAUUCCUGGUGUAGCGGUGAAAUGCGCAGAUAUCAGGAGGAACACCGAUGGCGAAGGCAGGUCUCUGGGCCACUACUGACGCUGAGAAGCGAAAGCAUGGGGAGCGAACAGG